GACGAACGCUGGCGGCGUGCCUAAUACAUGCAAGUCGAGCGAAGUUUUUCUGGUGCUUGCACUAGAAAAACUUAGCGGCGAACGGGUGAGUAACACGUAAAGAACCUGCCUCAUAGACUGGGACAACUAUUGGAAACGAUAGCUAAUACCGGAUAACAGUAUUUCUCGCAUGAGAGAUAUUUAAAAGUUGGUUAUGCUAACACUAUGAGAUGGCUUUGCGGUGCAUUAGCUAGUUGGUGGGGUAAAGGCCCACCAAGGCGACGAUGCAUAGCCGACCUGAGAGGGUGAUCGGCCACACUGGGACUGAGACACGGCCCAGACUCCUACGGGAGGCAGCAGUAGGGAAUCUUCCGCAAUGGGCGAAAGCCUGACGGAGCAACGCCGCGUGAGUGAAGAAGGAUUUCGGUUCGUAAAGCUCUGUUGUUAGGGAAGAAUGGAUAUGUAGUAACUAUACAUGUAAGAGACGGUACCUAACCGGAAAGCCACGGCUAACUACGUG
rnacentral:rRNA from 1 species